rnacentral:rRNA from 1 species
AGCGAACGCUGGCGGCAGGCCUAACACAUGCAAGUCGAGCGCCCCGCCCGGGGGGCGGCAGCCGGGAGAGUAACACGUGGGAACGUACCCUUCAGUUCUGAACAACCCAGGGAAACUUGGGCUAAUACCGAAUACGUCCGUAAGGAGAAAGAUUUAUCGCUGAAGGAUCGGCCCGCGUCUGAUUGGCGAGUGGGUGAGGUAACGGCUCACCAAGGCGAGGAUCAGUAGCUGGUCUGAGAGGAUGAUCAGCCUGACUGGGACUGAGACACGGCCCAGUACCCGACGGGAGGGAGCAGUAGGUAAUAUUGGACAAUGGGCGCAAGCCUGAUCCAGCCAUGCCGCGUAGAUGAUGAAGGCCCUAGGGUUGUAAAGUCCUUUUAACGGGGAAGAUAGUGACGGUACCCGUAGAAUAAGCCCCGGCUAACUUCGUGCCAGCAGCCGCGGUAA